GGGCCUGUGGCUAAGUCUGAUCAAGGCGUCCGGCUUUUAACCGGAAGAUCAGGGGUUCAAAUCCCUUCAGGCUCA
rnacentral:tRNA from 1 species